UCCCUGGCAGUCCAAUGGUUAGGACUUGGCGUUUCCACUGCAGGGCGCCCAGGUUCAAUCCCUGGUUGGGGAA
rnacentral:tRNA from 1 species